AACGAACGCUGGCGGCAUGCCUAACACAUGCAAGUCGAACGAGACCUUCGGGUCUAGUGGCGCACGGGUGCGUAACGCGUGGGAACCUGCCCUUAGGUUCGGAAUAACUCCCCGAAAGGGGUGCUAAUACCGGAUAAUGUCUUCGGACCAAAGAUUUAUCGCCUUUGGAUGGGCCCGCGUUGGAUUAGCUAGUUGGUAGGGUAAAAGCCUACCAAGGCGACGAUCCAUAGCUGGUCUGAGAGGAUGAUCAGCCACACUGGGACUGAGACACGGCCCAGACUCCUACGGGAAGCAGCAGUGGGGAAUAUUGGACAAUGGGCGAAAGCCUGAUCCAGCAAUGCCGCGUGAGUGAUGAAGGCCUUAGGGUUGUAAGGCUCUUUUACCCGGGAUGAUAAUGACAGUACCGGGAGAAUAAGCUCCGGCUAACUCCGUG
rnacentral:rRNA from 1 species